CAGCCGCCACGGUAAUACGAAGGGUGCAAGCGUUAAUCGGAAUUACUGGGCGUAAAGCGCGCGUAGGUGGUUUGGUAAGAUGGAUGUGAAAUCCCCGGGAUCAACCUGGGAACUGCAUCCAUAACUGCCUGACUAGAGUACGGUAGAGGGUGGUGGAAUUUCCUGUGUAGCGGUGAAAUGCGUAGAUAUAGGAAGGAACACCAGUGGCGAAGGCGACCACCUGGACUGAUACUGACACUGAGGUGCGAAAGCGUGGGGAGCAAACAGGAUUAGAUACCCGCGUAGUCCCUGUCUCUUAUAA
rnacentral:rRNA from 1 species